CAGUAGGGAAUAUUGGGCAAUGGGCGAAAGCCUGACCCAGCGACGCCGCGUGAGGGAUGAAGGUCUUCGGAUUGUAAACCUCUUUCAGUAGGGAAGAAGCGAAAGUGACGGUACCUAAAGAAGAAGCACCGGCUAACUAUGUGCCAGCAGCCGCGGUAAUAA
rnacentral:rRNA from 1 species